UUGCCAAAGAUAAUGAGCUCAAGAUUUACACACUACAGUACAAUUGUCCUUGACACUUUUUAUCUAGAAUUACGACAUUGUUCAUACCAAGGCAUUGAAGCAGUUAUAAUAUCUGCGUCUCUACAAUGUUUAAGUUCCUUCUAAUCUCUGUCACUGUACUGUCAGUGCUGUCUGUUCCGCAGAGAAGAUUUCUUACAGACUCAGAAAUCCCUGGAAAUUGUCUUCGAGGCUAUGAUAACUGUCAUCACUGUGGUUCAUAUACCAUAAUUAGGGACUUAUACUUGUGCUGUCCAGACUGCGGUGAAAGACCCAUGACCUCUCCCUCUGGUGGGGGAGGCAUCGCAUGCCACUGCAACAACAACAUCCCGCUAUAGCAGCAUUUAUUCCGAAAACUGAAUAAACGUCUUCACCAAAUGCAA